CCCUUAGAUGUUCUGGGCCGCACGCGCGCUACACUGAUGCAUUCAACGAGUUUCUUCCUGGUCCGAGAGGAAUGGGUAACCUUUUGAAAGUGCAUCGUGAUAGGGAUAGACUAUUGCAAUUACUGGUCUUCAACGAGGAAUUCCUAGUAGACGUAGUUCAUCAGACUGCAUCGAUUACGUCCCUGCCCUUUGUACACACCGCCCGUCGCUCCUACCGAUUGAAUGCUCAGGUGAGCCAUUCGGACUUUCAUCAUGCUGGUUUCCAGUUUUGAUGAAGGAAAGUCUUGCGAACCUUAUCAUUUAGAGGAAGGAGAAGUCGUAACA
rnacentral:rRNA from 1 species